ensembl:lncRNA
CACACACACACACACACACACACACACACACACACACACACACACACACACACACACACAAUCCGCGGCCAGAUGACGUUACCAUUUGUUCGCGGAAGUGGCUUCUGUCGUGACCGCUGAAGGGAGAGAGAGAGGUAGAGAGAGAGAAAGUUAAAAAAGAAGUUUUCAGAACUAUAAUUUCCUGUGAAAGUUCAUUCCAAAAAAAAACUGCGAAGGCGCUCGGCCGACCGAAGCCAUCGAGCCGUUUGCCCCCGGUAGGUGACACCAAGCCGAAGGGGUUUGAAGCAGCGACAGCCCGCUGGGCAGGAGGGGCAACUCGAGGGGGGAAAGGGAGGAAGAAAGCUGGUGAGUUGAUCGUUAAAGUUGACCACACUUUGUCGGGAGCAUGGCUGGAGAUCCGCCGCGCGCCGUGCGUCACCGCGCCGCGGCCGCAGUGGACGUCUCCAAGGAGCGGGGGGGGGGGUAGAUGGUUGCUUUACCUCUUCGUGUGGUGCCCACAGUGUUUGGUGGAGGUAAAUGAAAGCUUAUAUAUGUGUGAAACUUGCUCAUGAUCGGACCGAUCUCGACAAACGUCAAUGUUUCACGUCGUGUUCGGCCUCUCGCUGUCAGGCGAGUUUUCGGGCUUUUAGUCUCUGCAGCUGCCAGCAGACACAUUUUGGAGAAGCACAGCGGCCGCAAAGUCGCUCAUAAAUGACUGUAGUUCGUGUAAAAAUGGGCAACAGGGAGCAGUCCAUUGAGUGACCUCAAGCUGGAGACGCUUUCAGUAGGUGAACAGAGAACCGCUCUAACAAGGCCUUCGCUUGUGCGCAGAAAUGUCCUCAAAUUGACUCAUUGAGCUGAAUGAUCGAUGAGUGAAAGUUUAUUGGCCAUUCAUUUUGUAAUCAAAUCACCGUUUAAAGCAAACGUGUCAAAGGCUCGCUGGUUCCAUCUUCUCCAAUGUAAAGAUUUCCUGCCUUUUUCCUUUGUUUUUAGAUACUCAACAAAGCAUUUCCAUUAGAAUAUGUUGCCUUUUUUAAAAUAUUCUACUGUCUAUUUUCUCAAUUUUAUACGUAUUGAUUUUGAUUAAAUAAUAAUAAUGUAAAUAAUCAUUGCAACUGUAAAAUAAGUCUUUAUGACUAUAAUUCUAACGAUAUAUAUAUAUAUAUAUAUAUAUAU